UGGGGAAUUUUGGACAAUGGGCGAAAGCCUGAUCCAGCAAUGCCGCGUGUGUGAAGAAGGCCUUCGGGUUGUAAAGCACUUUUGUCCGGAAAGAAAUCCUUGGCUCUAAUACAGUCGGGGGAUGACGGUACCGGAAGAAUAAGCACCGGCUAACUACGUGCCAGCAGCCGCGGUAAUACGUAGGGUGCAAGCGUUAAUCGGAAUUACUGGGCGUAAAGCGUGCGCAGGCGGUUUGCUAAGACCGAUGUGAAAUCCCCGGGCUCAACCUGGGAACUGCAUUGGUGACUGGCAGGCUAGAGUAUGGCAGAGGGGGGUAGAAUUCCACGUGUAGCAGUGAAAUGCGUAGAGAUGUGGAGGAAUACCGAUGGCGAAGGCAGCCCCCCUGGGCCAAUACUGACGCUCAUGCACGAAAGCGUGGGGAGCAAACAGGAUUAGAUACCCUGGUAGUCCACGCCCUAAACGAUGUCAACUAGUUGUUGGGGAUUCAUUUUCCUUAGUAACGUAGCUAACGCGUGAAGUUGACCGCCUGGGGAGUACGGUCGCAAGAUUAAAACUCAAAUGAAUUGACGGGGUCAUAGCUGUUUCCU
rnacentral:rRNA from 1 species